rnacentral:pre_miRNA from 1 species
UAAUCUCAUGAGGUAACUCUGGAUAGGCCUUAUUCCGGAGUACCUGCUGAGAUGUGA